UACGUAGGGUGCGAGCGUUAAUCGGAAUUACUGGGCGUAAAGCGUGCGCAGGCGGUUGUGUAAGCCAGACGUGAAAUCCCAGGGCUUAACCUGGGAAUGGCGUUUGGGACUGCACGGCUGGAGUGUGGCAGAGGGGACUAGAAUUCCUGGUGUAGCAGUGAAAUGCGUAGAUAUCAGGAGGAAUACCGAUGGCGAAAGCGACUCCCUGGCCCACACCUGACGCUCAGGUGCGAAAGCGUGGGUAGCGAAC
rnacentral:rRNA from 1 species